UACGAAGGGGGCUAGCGUUGUUCGGAAUGACUGGGCGUAAAGGGCGCGUAGGCGGUUUAUUAAGUGAGGCGUGAAAGCCCUGGGCUUAACCCAGGAUGUGCGUUUCAUACUGAUAGGCUAGAGUGCGAGAGAGGAAAGUGGAAUUCCUAGUGUAGAGGUGAAAUUCGUAGAUAUUAGGAAGAACACCAGAGGCGAAGGCGGCUUUCUGGCUCGCAACUGACGCUGAGGCGCGAAAGCGUGGGGAGCAAACAGG
rnacentral:rRNA from 1 species